rnacentral:rRNA from 1 species
GGGAUAACCUCGGGAAACUGGGGAUAAUACCCGAUAGGUCUGAGAUGAUGGAAGGCCCUCAGGCCCAAACCCUGCGGGGCUCGAGGAUGGGUCUGCGGCCUAUCAGGUAGUAGGGGGUUUCACGGACCCCCUAGCCAUAGACGGGUACGGGCUUUGGGAGAAGUCGCCCGGAGAUGGAUUCUGAGACACGAAUCCAGGUCCUACGGGACGCAGCAGGCGCGAAACCUCCACAAUGUGGGCAACCACGAUGGGGGAACUCCAAGUGUCUACACUAUGUGUAGUCUGUUCUCGAGCCUAAAAAGCUCGAGAAGUAAGGGCCGGGUAAGACGGGUGCCAGCCGCCGCGGUAAUACCCGCGGCCCGAGUGGUGCUCAUUAUUAUUGAGCCUAAAGCGUCCGUAGCUGGCCGGGCAAAUCURCGGGUAAAUCGGGCCGCCCAACGGUCCGAACGCCGGAGACACUGCUCGGCUUGGGAUCGGGAGAGGGUGAAGGUACUCCCGGGGUAGGGGUAAAAAUCCUGUAAUCCGGGGGAACCACCAGUGGCGAAGGCGUUCACCUAGAACGAAUCCGCCAGUGAGGGACGAAGCCCUAGGGCGCAAACGGGAUUAGAUACCCCGGUAGCCUAGGGUGUAAACUCUGCAGACUUGGUGUUGGGGGGUCCUGCGUGGGCUCCCAGUGCCGGAGUGAAGAUGUUAAGUCUGCCGCUUGGGGAGUACGGUCGCAAGACUGAAACUUAAAGGAAUUGGCGGGAGAGCACCGCAACGGGAGGAGCGUGCGGUUCAAUUGGAUUCAACGCCGGAAAACUCACCGGGGGCGACGGAGGGAUGAAAGCCAGGCUGAGGACCUUGCCCGAUUCUCCGAGAGGUGGUGCAUGGCCGUCGUCAGUUCGUACCGUAAGGCGUUCUGUUAAGUCAGAUAACGAACGAGACCCUCGCCCUCAGUCGCGACCUCACGAGCGAUCGUGAGAGCACACUGGGGGGAUCGCUGCUGCUAAAGCUGAGGAAGGAGAGGUCUACGGUAGGUCCGUAUGCCCCGAAUUUCCCGGGCAACACGCGCGCUACAAAGGUGGGGACAAUGGGAUCCGACCCCGAAAGGGGAAGGCAAUCCUGAAACCCCAUCGUAGCCUGGAUCGAGGGCUGUAACUCGC